CCUACGGGUGGCUGCAGUAGGGAAUAUUGCUCAAUGGGGGAAACCCUGAAGCAGCAACGCCGCGUGGAGGAUGAAGGUUUUCGGAUUGGUAACUCCUUUUGUUAGAGAAGCUAAUAACGGUAUCUAACGAAUAAGCACCGGCUAACUCCGUGCCAGCAGCCGCGGGAAUACGGAGGGUGCCAGCGUUACUAGGAAUCACUGGGCGUAAAGAGCGCGUAGGCGGGAUAGCAAGUCAGAUGGGAAAUCCUAUGGGUUAACCAUAGAACUGCAUUUGAAACUGUUGUUCUAGAGUUUGAGAGAGGUAUGUGGAAUGCGUGGUGUAGCGGUAAAAUCCGUAGAGAUCAAGAGGAAUACUCAUUGCGAAGGCGACCUGCUAGAACAUAACUGACGCUGAUGCGCGAAAGCGUGGGGAGCGAACAGGAUUAGAUACCCCAGUAGUC
rnacentral:rRNA from 1 species